rnacentral:rRNA from 1 species
GACAGAGGGUGCAAACGUUGCUCGGAAUCACUGGGCGUAAAGGGCGUGUAGGCGGAUCGGCAAGUCGGGCGUGAAAUCCCUGGGCUCAACCCCAGGAACUGCACUCGAAACUGCCUUUCUUGAGUGCCGGAGAGGAAAGCGGAAUACCUGGUGUAGAGGUGAAAUUCGUAGAUAUCAGGUGGAACACCAGUGGCGAAGGCGGCUUUCUGGACGGUAACUGACGCUGAGACGCGAAAGCGUGGGGAGCAAACAGG